ACCAAUCUACUGUGAUAAAACAACAAAAUUGCAAUAACUGCAUUAAUUAUCAAAGUGAAGUCUAACUGUAGUCUUGAAACGAAUCUGAAUAAGGAAAAACAUUGCAAUACAAUAAUGCAAACUACUACCGCUAUUUUGGGGAGCCUGAGGACUGUAUAGGGCAGGGACCUGGGCAAAAUACGGCCCGCGGGCCACAUCCGGCCCUUUGUGCGUCCCGGUCCGGCCCGCAUGAGGCCAAUCGUAAAUGAUAUUUGAUUACAACUUAAUUUAGAAAAAGAAAAAUCAGUGUCGUGCUUUUAUUUUGAAAGGCGUCACACUUCCGUGUAGCGUACGUGUAUGUGAGCUGUGCGUGAAGGUGAACAGUGCGAAGUAAUGCUGCCCGAGAAAUGUGUGCUGACCCUCAGAAAAGAGAAAAGUUGACAAGGAGCGUCGUGUUUUCAACAAGACAUGGACUGCCAAGUAUUUCUUUACAGAAAUGAAAGGUAAACCCGUGUGCCUGAUUUGUGGUACACAGGUCGCUGUGUUUAAAGAAUAUAAUUUGAGUCGCCACUACACGACCAAGCAUGAGAAAAAAAUACAUCUGUCUGAUAAACAGCGCGCAUCAGAGGCUGAUGCAUUGCUAGCAAAACUGCAAGCCCAACAAGGACUUUUUAUCAAACUUCACACCCAGAGAUGCAGCGGCUUUAUCAUUUGAGGAAAAGUUAAAGAAGUUAAGAAUAAAUUGUACUGAUUAA